GAACAUAUAGAAUAUUAUUAAAUAUUUUCAAGUAAUUGUUGAAGUAUGAAGAUCUCUCAUACUAAUAAAAUUAAAUAAAUAAGAAAAAAAUUUCAAAUUUAUUACAAUGAACCUCGAAAAACAAACAUUUCGUAUACUACAUUAACUAACAAAGCCAAAUAUUUCAAUGUGCAUUCUAGCAAUAUGGUUUACAAAACUGAACAUAUUCAUUUAGUAUCAUGGUUAAUAAACAUCACAAUUUUUCAAUUGUCUUGAUCAAUAACUUUAAACAUAUGAAAUCGACUUCUCGCCACCAUUUUCAGAACAUCGCCAAAAAAUUCCUACAUAUAUUCAAAGUGAACCUAAAUAUUAGAUUGAAACCAAUAGCAUGCUAGUGCACUCAAUUGAUGAAAUCUCGCCUAUAUUUUUUUAUAUAAAUUGAAUGAUAAUGAAAAUCAUCAACUAGCUUGCUAGCGGAAGGAAAAAAUAGCAAAAUUGCAGUUAAUUUAAUCACAGAUGUACAUCAUUUGUAACCAACACCUUUGCAUCAAUACAAACUAUUGUGAGACGUGUGCACUUAGUUUUCAAUGAAAAUAAUAAAAAGAUAAGUUUCGGAAAGAUGCAAUAAGUAUGAAAAUAGUAAGAAACAAUGUAAUAUGGUAAGAUAAUGGUACAACACCUGGCAAGUAGCCUGACCAAUGCUGAAGCAUAUGAUCCAAUAUGAAUGACAAUUGAAAAAUUAAAGCUUCUCUUUUACUACAGUAACAACUUAUAUAGUCAAUCUUCUUGUUCAUUUUUAUGUGGAACUGGAAAGAACUCAGUGCAAGAUCAUAAUAUUGAUGCAUCAAUGUGUAUUCCAACAACAUAAAAAAGCAAGUAGAGAAAUAACUUUUGAUAUUCUUAGGUACAUUAUGUCAAAUACUCGCUUUUCAAUAUAUUGCAAGCUUAUCAUGCAUUGACUGCCAAAGAAAGCAGCAUUGGGAAUUCAAAUUCAAAAAACUAGAUCUGUUUAAUUUCUUCGGUACGAAAUGCAUAUGAUAUGAUUUUAGAAUAAUUUAAAUUAGGUAUCUUAACAAAUAAUGUCUUACCUAAGUUUCUAAACAACAAAAGUAUGUUGCUUUAAGUGAAUGAAAAAGUGUCAGAUUUGUCCGAAUACCUGUGUCAAUCUCACUCCUUCCCUGGAGACAAAAGAAAGAAUACAGAUCAUCAAGAUUAUAUCAAUUUUUUUUUGAAGUUGCUCCUAAUAAGACAUCAAGAUCUAGUAAGAAGAGAUGUGAUAUAAUAAAAUAAUCAAAAAUAGUUUACUAUCUUACCAAUCUGGAUUCAGUACAUAUGAUGGUUCAGACCCAAUAUAAAUAAUAAGAGAUGUGCACAUCUCAUUCAACUCUGCUAUCAGAUUAUCAAAAAACAACCAACUAUAAAGAACUACUUCAAUAAACAAAAUGUAUAUUUUCUAAGGCGCAUCAAUUCCAAAGAUAGCAAACUAUCUUUUAAAGAUAUACUAGCUACUCUAGGAACUGAAAUAAAUAGAGAAGAUGAAUAAAUAGCAGAGAAAGAGAACUUCUGAUCCAGAAAGAUAUCCAAAAUUAAUAAAAUGAAUUUGAUAUCUUAAUGAAUCUAGAGGUCAUUGUUGAGAUAUAAAAUAUGAACACAACCCCUAGCUAUUCUAAACAUGUAUAUGUAUAUGAUGCACGUGGUGCUUCUAUUUACUAGCGAGGUACUUUAAAAAUACCAAGUGAAUCUGGCGGGCAUUUGGACAGUUUGAUUCUUUAACAAUACUACUAUUUAUGAGCAAAUAGAAAAAUUGACAUUAUUGUCACUAAAAUCUGAAAAUUUCAAACCUGAACCAGCUACAUAAAGACGUUGCUUUUCAAAUUUGAACCUUCGCAAUAGAUAUUUUAAGACGCAAUCUAGACUAAUGAAAGUUUUAGAAUAACUAAUGAUAUUGUCCUGCCCCUCACUCAAUCCUUAGAUGCUAUAAGAGUUCCUUUUAAUUCCUUGUCAAUAAGAAUUCAGUUAACGAAUUAUCUAAAUUAAGAUUAUUGUAUGGAGAUAAGUUAUCGAUUAAAUUGCAAGUAUGUUACCUAUAGGAGUUCAGUUAACCAAUGAAAACAUAAGCCUCAAAACUAAACUACCAUUUCUCUUUCUCGUUUUCAAAUUUUCUAUGAUUUUGCCUAAGCAUAUUACUAACACCAGUAAAAUGUCAUUAAUUCAUCAAAUAGUUGAACAUAAUACAUAUCUUAAAGCUUGAAUAAUUUAUUGCACGUCGCUAACCAACAGAGUCAUCAACAACAACAACAACAACGACCCAGUAUAAUCCCACAAGUGGGGUCUGGGGAGGGUAAUAUGUACGCAGACCUUACCCCUACCCCGAAGGGUAGAGAGGCUGUUUCCAGGAGACACUCGGCUCAAACAGAGUCAUCAUAGAUGAUAUAUUCCCCAAUUUUCCACAUCUAGUUAACGAGAAACUUUAGAGUCUAUCCACCAUUGGAACAAAAUGGAGCUAGUUAAACAUGAUAAAACACAACAGGUCUUUGACCAAAAUUUCAAAUUGAGCAACUAAAAUUAACUAGAAGAACUUCAUUUUUAUAGAUCCAUACACAACAAUAACAAAAAAUUCAGUGUAAUCCCAAAAAUAGAGGUCCAGAGAACGCAUCCUUAUAAAAAGAAGUUCCAAAUUUUAUAAAUUAGCAUUCUCUUUCUGUCAAGAAAUAAUUUUUUUUCUUUCUUUGCUUCGGAACAUUGUUGGCAUAGCUUAUAGUAUCAUAUAAUGCAUACAUAAAUAGGCAAAAAUUGACCCGAUAUUGAAAAACCUACUAUACCUGAGCAGAGACAAAAAGGCUAGAGAGUGAUUUCGUACGUUCCUAAGAUUAAAGGCUAAAAAAAGUAAGAAAAUCACAGAAAAAACUCAAAUAACUCAUUUGAAGCAAAGCAAAACAGGGCUAGGAAGAACUCACCAUCACCGCAGCUUACUGAACAACAAACUUCAAUGCUUGAUUUGUGCGCUUCGGUUUUAAGCCCUAACUCUUUGAUGGAGCCCUAACUCUAAUAAUUUUAUCAACGAGCUAUCUUUAAUUGACAGAUUAAUUUGGGUUUGUCAAUUUUUAAUGUGCAACCACAUUUCAAACAAUGGUAGUAAGCCCUAAUCCUUCAAGUGAGAAAUUUGCUGAUAGAUCAAUUUGGGAUUCCAACGGACGUAUGUCCCAUGAUUUGGCAGCACUUAAGCGGUGUGCCCUUUCUAUUAAAAGAGAACGUUUUAGAAGUGUUGCUUAGUAACUGUUGCCAAAAGCCCGUAAUAAAUGCCACACAGAUAAAAGCGUG
rnacentral:lncRNA from 1 species